UUCUAUUAGGUUGGUACAAAAGUACUUGCAGUGUUUGCUCUCAAAAGCAAUGGCAAAAACCGCAAUUACUUUUGCACCAACCUAGUAUGUG
ensembl:miRNA